ensembl:lncRNA
AUGUCAACUUGCAGCAGCUCCGAGGUCUGUUGUCCAGUGAUUGGAUACAAGCUGGAAUGUCCUAGCAGAUCUAUUGUGGCAAAGAUGUGUAAAAUCCCUCUACAUGGCAUUCUGCAUAAGAUUUGUGGAGAAAAUACGGGGAACUGCUCACUGGGGAUGCUAUGCUUUGUUUGCCUGUCCCAUGAAAGCUACACCUAGAGGCAUUUACGAACUCUAAGCUAGGGCCCAAAGCAAAUAAUUAUAGCACUAAACAAUCCACCCCUCAAAGCAUAUAUUUUUCUCUAAUUUUUUGUUGUUUAUGAAGUUUCACAUAAGAUAAUCACAUUACAUUAAUUAUGAUGUAAACCUUUGAUUAGAGAGCUUUGGAGAAAUUCCUCAGAAGAUCAAUCUUUCAAAUAAAAAUAAAUAUGUCAGUCUCAGGUAUUAGUAUCAUUGAAAUAAUGGCCAUUUCUUUAUUUAUAUAGAUGCUGUUAUGUUAUUUAGUAUUAUCUUGGUCCUUUUAUUUAAAUAAAUUCUUUGGUUCUCUAACUAUUAAUGAUUCACUUUCUUUUAGAAGUUAUAUAAUUCAUUCUAUCCCCCAGCUUCAGAUUAUCUUGUUAUAACAUCCAGCAUCUAAUUUCCAAUUUUGCAAUCACACUCUUUCAACUCCCAUCCUGCCCAGUGGAGAUAUAUGGGAAGGGGUAAGAGGAUGCUGUGGUCUGGGGGAUGCUGAUUUCCUGGCUUGGUUUUGCCACCUGCUACCUACAUGUACCCUUUCUGAGGCUCAGUUGUGACUUGUGUAAUUGGGUUUGGUUACACUUCACAGAGUUAUAAGGCUAAAAGAGAUGGUACUUUGAAUACUGCUUUGUAAAAUUCUGUGAAAGCAAAAGCCAAGGACUUAUUAAGGCUCUUCAUGUCAAUGCCCGUUCAAUGGCUGUAUCUGUUACCUCAUUUUUGGUGACAUUGUCUUAAUAUUGAAAGCCCGUUAUUAUUAAAUUAGUAUAAGGAAGAAACUUCAUAAAAUGAAGAUAUGGAUUUCAUAUUCAGAAAAGUUUAAAAACUGCCAUUGCUUACUCCCUACCCAUAAAUAUGCUCCAGUCGAAACCAUAAAAUGAAUUUUUUACUCCCUGUUAGGAAGUAUCAGCUUUAGGAAGGAUCAUCUUCUGGAAGAAUGAUUUUUCCUCAAAGAAACCAAAGUUCAUUUCUGUUCAGGAAUAGGGUGAUAUAUUUACAUAUGCAAACAAAUGCUAUAUUUCUUUGUGAUCCAAAGGACUUACACUCUAAUGGUGAGUAGGGCAGAUUUUUAAAGUGUGGGUGAAGGGUCCACCUAGUGCACAGUGAGCUGUAGGACAUGGGUGAAAUAGAUUUCAUCUCCCUGUGCACAUUAAAGUGGACAUUCACAAUGUGUAUAAAGGAGCUAUAGAGAAAUGCUUUUCCUCUUGCUUAUUUCCUGUUUCAUUUCUAUGAUCUAUGAAACAGGAAAGCUAAAUGCUGCACCCAUUGAUAGGUGCAUUCGACUGUGGUAGCAUUCCCUGAGGCCAGCUGGUAGCUAACCUGGUAUUCAGCCAAUUGUGUCAUUUUAUAUCUAUGCACAGGAUCAAGGUCAGCAGCAUAUUGCAGAUGACCUCUUAUGUGGACUAAUGUUUAUCAGCUGACUUUGGAAACCAUAACCAAGCUAUCCUUCAUUAAGUGCGCUUUCCUUAAGCAGUGCAGCAUAAAGUGGGUUUGAACAGAACUAGACCUCUUACGUAACCUGCUUGUUUUCACUGAAGAUUGGCAACAGGUCAAAAAAGGCAUCGGGCAAGUUCCCACGCAGUUCAGCUUGUUUAUUAACAGUAAGAGACGAGUUAUAUGAUGUUAUCCAAUGAUACCAUCCCCUAAAACA